UACGUAGGGUGCGAGCGUUGUCCGGAAUUAUUGGGCGUAAAGGGCUCGUAGGCGGUUUGUCACGUCAGGAGUGAAAACUCGGGGCUCAACCCCGAGCCUGCUUCUGAUACGGGCAGACUAGAGGUAUGCAGGGGAGAACGGAAUUCCUGGUGUAGCGGUGAAAUGCGCAGAUAUCAGGAGGAACACCGGUGGCGAAGGCGGUUCUCUGGGCCUUACCUGACACUGAGGAGCGAAAGCGUGGGGAGCGAACAGG
rnacentral:rRNA from 1 species